rnacentral:rRNA from 1 species
AACGAACGCUGGCGGCAUGCCUAACACAUGCAAGUCGAACGAGACCUUCGGGUCUAGUGGCGCACGGGUGCGUAACGUGUGGGAACCUGCCCUUGGAUCCGGAUAAUCACCCGGAAGGGGUUUCAAUACCGGGAAACUUCUUCCGACCAAAGGUUUAUUGUCCUUGGAUGGGGCCGGGUUGGUUUAGCUAGUGGGUAGGGUAAAAGACUUCCAAGGCGACGAACCAUAGCUGGUCCUAGAGGAUGAUCAGCCACACUGGGACUGGGACACGGCCCAGACUCCUACGGGAGGCAGCAGUGGGGAAUAUUGGACAAUGGGCGAAAGCCUGAUCCAGCAAUGCCGCGUGAGUGAUGAAGGCCUUAGGGUUGUAAAGCUCUUUUGCCCGGGAUGAUAAUGACAGUACCGGGAGAAUAAGCUCCGGCUAACUCCGUG